rnacentral:lncRNA from 1 species
GUGGCCUGCUGACUGCAUCUGCCAGAUGACUACCAAUGUUUUUAUAGAUUGAGAGGAACUACGCUCAAGGAGCCUCAUGCAUACCUGGACCUGAUUUAAAUGAUGAGAUGCUGGACUUCAAGCAGAUGCUGUAAUGAUAUGAGGUUCUCAGGGACCUUGGGAAAUAGUAAAUGUAUUUUGUGUGUGAGAGGGACACAAAUCAUUGGAGGCCAAAAGGGUGAACUGAGGACAGAUGCUAGGGUAGCUCCCACAAUCCCCACCUCCUGGUUUCACCCUUGUGGGAUCUCGCCAUGAGUGUGGAUGGAACCUGUGAUUUGCUUCUAACUAGUAGAAUUUGGCAAAAAAUGAUGAGAUAUAUGUGAUUAUGUUUACAUGAUUAUAUUAUAUAAGAUUCUGAGUACAUUGAGCUGCAUAGAGAGAGCACGGGGGCAAGUGAGAGCCAGGUGGGUACUGGAAAGCUCUGUGCCUCACUGAGGAAAAAUAACUAAACAUGGGCAAAAGAGAUCCAUGGAACCUGAGAGGCAAGGUGUUAUUAUAUGCAUUCUUUGGCAAACUUGUCAGGAGGCGCAUAAGAAGAAGCACCCAGAUGGUUCAGUCAACUUCUCAGUUUUCUAGGAAGUGCUCAGAGAGGUGCAAGACCAUGUCUGCUAAAGAGAAAGGGAAAUUUGAAGACAUGGCAAAGGCGAACAAGGCUCGUUAUGAAAGACAGAUGAAAACCUAUAUCCCUCCUAAAGAUCCCCUUUAGGACGAAAAAGUAGUUCAAGGAUCCCAAUGCACCCAAGAGGCAUUCUUUGGCUGUUUUCUUGUUCUGUUCUGAGUAUUGCCCGAAAAUCAAAGGAGAACAUCCUGGCCUAUCCAUUGGUGAGUUGUAAAGAAAUUGGAAGAGAUGUGGAAGGGCACUGCCUCAGAUGAUAAGCAGCCUUAUGAAAAGAAGGCUGUGAAGCUGAAGGAAAAAUAUGAAAAGGAUAUUGCCUCAUACUGAGCUAAAGGAAAGCCUGAUGCAGCAAAAAAGGGAGUUGUCACGGCUAAAAAAAGCAAAAAAAGGAAGAAGAGGAAGAUGAAGAUGAUGAUGAUGAUGAUAAUGAGAGAUUCUCUCUCCCUUGCUGUCUUUGAAAAAGCAAGUUGCCAUGUGAAGAGGGCCAUAUAGCAUAGGAGCUGAAGGCAGCCUCCAACUGACGGCAAGAAAAUGAGGUCCUCAGUCUGACAACCUGCAAGAAACUGAAUGUUCUAAAAGCCACAUGAGCUUGGGAGCAGAUCUGACCCCAGCCAAAUCUCUGAAGUCCGCAGGCAGGAAAUGAAGAUCAGAAAAAGGCUAUUGUCUCAUGAAUAUGAGCCAGACUCCACAGAAGCUGGAGUCCUUCAUUAUGGAGCUAAACACAUACACCUGGCUUAGGAGUCAGAAAAACUGAAAGAGAAUUCAGGGAAGUAGAGAAAUUGCAAGCCCAGAUGCUGCUUCAUACCAAAGAAGCAAGUCAGCAGGUCAGCAACAAUGUGUAUCAGUUCCAAAAUGACUUACACAGGUACCAAGACAAGACAUUAUAUACACUUAUAUAGUCAAAUACUUUAAAACUGUUAACAAACUUGCUACAAUUGUCUCAUUUGUCUUUUAACCUUAAUAUCACAGAUCAAGUUUGUAAUCUCAAAAGUUCACCCUGGCUGCUGUGUGGAGUAUUCUCUUAUCUGCUCAUAUUACACUGUGCUUAUUCAUUCAUCAGUUAAUGGAAAUUUGGGUUGUUUCCUGAUUUUGACUGUAAUGAAUAAUGUUGCUGUAAACAUUCAUGUACAGUUUUGUGUGGACAUGCUUUUCUUUCUCUUGGGUAGGUUCCUAUGAGUGGAAUCACUAGAUUGUAUGGUAAAUGUAUGUUUAACUUUUAAAGAAACUGUCAAACUGUUUUCUAACAUGAACGGGCCAUUUUACGUUCUUAUCAACAAUAUAUGAUGGUUUCAAUUUUCCCAC